CUAAAUUUAUUUUAAAAUUAAAUAAAUACUUCUUAUUUUUAGAUUUAUGAUAUAAU
rnacentral:tRNA from 1 species